CCGCCGGUGGCGCUUUGAUGUGCCAAGAUGUUUGCACAAUGAUCAGUGAACAAGCUUCAGAAAUCAGUAUGAAAUGCACAAUAAUUUCAAAUUGAUCCUUUCCUUUGUUCUAGAAUAUGAAAGAUAGCAGCGUAUAAAUGGAUCCUAGAUGAGUUGAAAGUUAAUCAAACAUAUCAAUCGUGUUCCAAGUUCAAAUGUGUUUCCGAGGCAGGCUGGAAUAUCCAAUGGCAAAAAAAUGCUUCUGACGAAGCGCAUUGCGGAAUUCUGUGGCCACGGGCCAUCCCGACCGUUGAGUACUUGAAUGCAAGUGUGCAGUGCAAUUGAGUCCAUGAGCAGAUAAGAUGGGCGCCAAGCCCACGAAGCCACCAAGUUGACAAACGGAGCUCGCCUGUCGCCACACCACGGCCCCCGCUCGGCCGCUCGCCACCGCGAUGCUGCUCCUGGCGCGAGCCCCGCCGCCGUCCUUGGCGGCCAACUAUUCGGCGAGCCCGGAGCGCGGCCUCCGCCUUCGGAGCAUGCCCUCGUCCCGCGCCGUCGUCGCUACGGCCUCCUCUGCGGCGAAGCCGGCGGCCGCGGCUUCCUCGCGGGCCGGGCAAAAGCGCAAGCAGGUGGCGAGCGUGGCGAACCCGCUCGUGAAGCACUGCGUCAAGCUCCGGCUCUCCGCCGCGUACCGCCGCUCCUGCCGCCGCCUCCUCCUCGUCGGCCUCGCGCCCAUCCUGGAGAUGUGUAGGUUUGAGCUCGACGCCAUCGAUUACCUGCUUCUCCUGGACGGCGUGGAGGUCCCGGAGGCGCUGCGCGAGUUCUCUGGCGAUGUCGUGUUUGUCAGCGCCGCGGUGAUGAAGAAGGUGUCCGGCAUGCAGUCGGUUGAUUCCACCGAGGCGAUUGCUGUCAUGCACAUGCCUAGGCACUUCCGCGACCUCGGGAGCCAUGAGGAUGGGGAUUCUCUUCAUGGGCUGUUCAAUCACCCAAAGAGGAUUCUGGUCCUUGAUGGGAUCCAGGAUCCUGGUAACCUUGGAACGCUGAUAAGAUCAGCUUGUGCUUUCAAAUGGGACGGGGUAUUUCUUCUCCCAGCUUGUUGUGAUCCUUUCAAUGAAAAGGCUCUCCGUGCAGCCCGUGGAGCCUCUUUGCAGCUUCCUAUUGUCUCUGGUACCUGGCAUGACCUGCAUGCAUUAAUGACUAAAUAUGAUAUGAAGAUGAUGGCAGGCCAUCCAGAAAGUAGCAGUGAUGCAUCCAAGGGAAUCCACUCGCUGUCCAAAGAACUAGCUGAUUCACUCUUGAAUGAGUCUCUGUGCUUAGUGUUAGGAAGUGAGGGGAAUGGCCUUUCUUCAGAAACCCUCCAAGCCUGUGAGCUUGUAAACAUUCCGAUGGAAGGAUCUUUCAUGAUUCACCACUGCUGACUUGGUAUUGUGCUUGUCCUAAAAUAAAACACACCAUCACCUUCUAGUGGCGUCACUUCAACUUGUUCCGGGCUGAUUUAGUUGGAUCUUCAAAGGCAUGCUUUCAGGUGGAGCUUGCUUUGUUAACAGGUAAGAGCAUCCUGAGUCAUAACUCAUAAGCAAUCUGGAUUUGACUGUUGCAAUCAAUGUGUGCAUGCCUGUAGCUCACUGAAAUGCUAGUGCUGCUUCCAAUUCCUGUCUUUGAUGCUAGACCAAUAUUUUUCAAGGAAUCAUGUUGUACCAGUUCAUAAAGGAUUUUCGAGCAUCUACAAUCACUUUGCCUUAGUUUAUCUGUGUAUAGUGGUUUGUUUUAUUUCCUUUUUCCAUGAAAAAUAAUAUUACCAUUCUCACUUUCAACUUCUACUGUUCUGCAUAGCAGUGGUCUUUUCUUCUUCUUUUCCCCCCCUUGGAGUAAUAGCAUCUGUUUGUCGGAAAUCCGUUCUGCAGGGCAUUUUUUUUCUAAAGCACUAGCAUCUGUUUUUAGGAAAUCCUAAUUUGACUUGCCUUUUGUGGUUUAAUGCUUUGUUGUAUGCAGCUUAUAAGUUGAUUAUGUUUAUAAAAAAAUUGUUACUGUAGUUGUAACUUGCUCUUUCUCUGAACAUUUUUUAUGGGAAGUGUUAUUGGCUCAUUAAAAUAUCAAUAACAACAGUUUUUAUAUCUUUCCCUUUUUUCAAUUUAUUUAAAUACCUUUACCCUGUAUAAACUGCUUGAUACUCAGGGAAGAGAUGAGGAACCCAUUUACACAAGCAGAACUGUUGGUAUAUUGCUUGCCAUGUCUGCUGCAACUGGAAACAACUCACUAUCUCCUGCUUGUGAAAAGGCAUUAUGCUAUCUACAGUAUGCUGAGUAACCAACCACUAGGCUGUCUAGGCACAAGCAAUCAGAUACAUAUUUUUACAAAAUCUGUAUCAAAAGUUUAUAGAGUCAGCUGCAUCACAGCAUUCACAUGCUUCGCCACUAAAGUACUAGGAUGCUACCUGUGCUGACACCUGAAAAAAAAACUAAUAGGAAACAAAGUUAAAGUUGAUUGAUCAAUGCGCUGGCUGGCACUGUGGAACAUCAAGAUGUUGGAUAAAGCAACGAAACACUACUUGUAGCAUUUUUUUUUCUGUACUGCUUUAUUACUCUAUUCAGUUUGCUUUUUGUCUAUUUGUCAUAAACAACUUAUUCAGGUUGUCUUUAGGUGGUCCAAGCACUAGUUAGUAACUCCAGCAUAGGUUUGUGUUCCAAGAGUUUGUAUUUAAAUUUUUUGUUCCAAGAGUUUAUAUUUAACCUUUUUGUUCCAAGAGUUUGUGUUCUUUUUUGUUCCUUAUUAUAUUUAACUUUUUUGUUCAAUUAAAUUAAGAGAUAAACGAAGCAAAGUUUACAUGCAUGUCAACUUUUAUUCUAUAGUUCAAAUUGUAAAGGAUGAUGUACCCUUUCAAAAUUUGACAUCUGAAAACAAUUUUCUCAUAGUGAUUGUGAUUGCAUCUGUAGUAAUUACGAGUUCUUGAGCCGUCAGGCUUAACAUACACUUAAUAUUUCCUAUAUGAAGUGGUGAGACAACAUUUGUCAACUUCCGUUUCUGCCAAUCUUUGAUUAGUGAUUCUGAUGUCAUUGUGCAUAAUUUCGUCAUUAUCUUUUACGUGACAAUGAUAGUCCUCAAUUCCAAAUUGUACUUGUUUUGUGAUCAGUAACCACCAGCUGUUAUUUAAGAAAGAAACUUGGACAGUUUCCUGCCCAGUAGUCUAAGUAAUGUAAAUUAAGCCGUUACUCUACCUGCACGUAUCUUGAUACCACUAUGCAGCAAAACAGUGAACGGUACUAAUGUAAAUUACGCUCUUACGUUUUUCUCCAUGUGCAUAAUGUAUGUGUACUGGCGCUUUGUGCCCAUGCUCUUUGUGGCCUUCCUCAAUUUUUCACAUGUUCAGAAGUACUGUACAAUCAAAGAGCAGGGAUGGACCAAUCAUGUUCAGGUACGAACAUAAAAUAUCUUGGGUUUUGUCAUGUCACAUGCACAGUGCCUACUUUCCACAGAAAGGAGGUGAUAUCGGUAUGGUACUGGCACCUACCACCUAGAUGCUUCUGAGUUCUGAUCGUGCUGUUUCAUCAUCCUUGCCUUUAUAGCCUUUCCCGAAACAAGUUUAGUCAAGUUAUCGAAUCAACAUUAUCACUCUGCCUAUGCCAACAUAGGCAAGUUUGUUUGCUGCCUCCAGUGACCAGCGUGUCACGGUGCGAUGCUUCAUUGUGGAACUGCGGCAUCUUUUCCUUGUCAAUUGAUAAUGCCCAUGGACUCACAUGAUUGCCUUUCUGACUCUGAAUCAUGCAGGGUUGGUGUUCAUGCAGCGCUUGCCAUUUGGCACCUCUGCCUUGCCGAUCCUUUUGGUGUCUUGCAGUGUGCUGGCAAGGACACGGCUUGGCUUGGUUUGGGCGUGUUGACAAAUCUGCGAUCGCCGAUAGGAUGGCAUCAGGAGGCCACUGAUUGGUGCAUCAUUUAGCUGAAAUAAGCAUCGACAGGAUCACAGGAUCGGGGAUAUUUUGUUAGUUUUUUUUUUAAAGGGAGUCCAUCAAUUUCGCUUUAUUUGCUGGGAAGGGAUUCGGGCCUCAGAGCAUUGCCCAUGUGGAUGUAGGGCGCCCGGAAGCUCCCAGAAGCAGCUAACAUCGCGGGCUCUGAUUAUUGGAUGAGCAAAAAUGCCUAACGGGAAGAAAAGUUGGAGGUUUAGGGUGGAGAUGUGUUCCACUUCUGCGGUGAUCGGCAAGAUUUACCCGUUCCAAGCGGGGCUGCCAAUCCAUGUCGAUCGGUGGCACAAUCCAUGGAAAAUCGUUGGGGUCACGUUGAACCUUAAACCUGCAUCUUAUGAUGAUGUCCUUUUAUGAUGACUGACUAAUUGACUGCCGUGCCUGUAAUGAUGUAGCAUCUGUACAAGGUAGUGAAAGAACCUCAA